rnacentral:lncRNA from 1 species
UAAAAAGGCAAAUUGAUCUUGCCAUAAUUUGUCUUUAGUCAAAAUGGGAAACUGGAGAGAGAAAUACUAUGUUUCAAAAACUAUGGUACACUUGUUAUUAAAUUCUAGUCUCAUCAGUUGUUUUUAAGUUUGUUUCUGCAAUUUAGGCUAACCCUGCUUAUUCCUGUAAACCAACCAGUGAUCUCUGACUGCUGCUUAAAAGAAACAAGACAGAUGGUUAUCAUUUACUCUGAUGCUUUCCUGAAAGCACUUGCAAAUCGCUAUGACACAAAACUUCAAGAGAUUCAUAAAAAAAAGACUCAAGCACAGGUGUCUGAUAACUUUUAAAUCACACUGUUGAACCCAUUAAACUGGGGUUGUUCUUAGCCUUACAGCCCUGUGAAUGGGAGCU